rnacentral:misc_RNA from 1 species
UCCUCGUUUAAGCGAGGCAGUCUGUCCAGAGUGCUUCCUUCUCUCGAAGGAGUGGCAACAGGACACAAGGGUUGCGCUCGUUGCGGGACUUAACCCAACAUCUCACGACACGAGCUGACGACAGCCAUGCAGCACCUGUGCUAGAGCUCCGAAGAGGGGCUCCGCUUUCACGGAGCUUUCUCUAGCAUGCCAAGCCCAGGUAAGGUUCUUCGCGUUGCUUCGAAUUAAACCACAUGCUCCGCUGCUUGUGCGGGUCCCCGUCAAUUCCUUUGAGUUUUAGCCUUGCGGCCGUACUCCCCAGGCGGGGUGCUUAAUGCGUUAGCUUCGGCACGGACGGAGUCGACACCGCCCACACCUAGCACCCAUCGUUUACGGCGUGGACUAC